rnacentral:rRNA from 1 species
UACGUAGGGGGCAAGCGUUGUCCGGAUUUAUUGGGCGUAAAGAGCGUGUAGGCGGCUUUACAGGUCCGUUGUGAAAACUCGAGGCUCAACCUCGAGACGCCGGUGGAAACCGUAAAGCUAGAGUCCGGAAGAGGAGAGUGGAAUUCCUGGUAUAGCGGUGAAAUGCGCAGAUAUCAGGAAGAACACCCGUGGCGAAGGCGGCUCUCUGGGACGGUACUGACGCUGAGACGCGAAAGCGUGGGGAGCGAACAGG